rnacentral:rRNA from 1 species
AUUGAACGCUGGCGGCAGGCCUAACACAUGCAAGUCGAGCGGAUGAAGGGAGCUUGCUCCUGGAUUCAGCGGCGGACGGGUGAGUAAUGCCUAGGAAUCUGCCUGGUAGUGGGGGAUAACGUCCGGAAACGGGCGCUAAUACCGCAUACGUCCUGAGUGAGAAAGUGGGGGAUCUUCGGACCUCACGCUAUCAGAUGAGCCUAGGUCGGAUUAGCUAGUUGGUGGGGUAAAGGCCUACCAAGGCGACGAUCCGUAACUGGUCUGAGAGGAUGAUCAGUCACACUGGAACUGAGACACGGUCCAGACUCCUACGGGAGGCAGCAGUGGGGAAUAUUGGACAAUGGGCGAAAGCCUGAUCCAGCCAUGCCGCGUGUGUGAAGAAGGUCUUCGGAUUGUAAAGCUCUUUAAGUUGGGAGGAAGGGCAGUAAGUUAAUCCCUUGCUGUUUUGACGUUACCAACAGAAUAAGCACCGGCUAACUUCGUG